rnacentral:rRNA from 1 species
UGGCUCAGGAUGAACGCUGGCGGUAUGCUUAACACAUGCAAGUCGAACGGUCACUUUCGAGUGAUAGUGGCGGACGGGUGAGGAACGCGUGAGAAUCUGCCUUGAGGUCGGGGACAACAGUUGGAAACGACUGCUAAUACCGGAUGAGCUGAGAAGUAAAAGAUUUAUCGCCUCAAGAGGAGCUCGCGUCUGAUUAGCUAGAUGGUGGGGUAAAAGCCUACCAUGGCGACGAUCAGUAGCUGGUCUGAGAGGAUGAGCAGCCACACUGGGACUGAGACACGGCCCAGACUCCUACGGGAGGCAGCAGUGGGGAAUUUUCCGCAAUGGGCGCAAGCCUGACGGAGCAAUACCGCGUGAGGGAGGAAGGCUUUUGGGUUGUAAACCUCAAAACUUAGGGAAGAAAAAAAUGACGGUACCUAAUAUAAGCAUCGGCUAACUCCGUGCCAGCAGCCGCGGUAAUACGGAGGAUGCAAGCGUUAUCCGGAAUCAUUGGGCGUAAAGCGUCCGUAGGUGGCAUUUAAAGUCUGCUGUCAAAGACCGAAGCUCAACUUCGGGCCGGCGGUGGAAACUGAAAAGCUAGAGUAUAGUAGGGGUAGAGGGAAUUCCUAGUGUAGCGGUGAAAUGCGUAGAGAUUAGGAAGAACACCAGUGGCGAAGGCGCUCUACUGGGCAUAUACUGACACUGAGGGACGAAAGCUAGGGGAGCGAAAGGGAUUAGAUACCCCUGUAGUCCUAGCGGUAAACGAUGGAUACUAGGUGUUGUCUGUAUCGACCCGGACAGUGCCGAAGCAAACGCGUUAAGUAUCCCGCCUGGGGAGUACGCACGCAAGUGUGAAACUCAAAGGAAUUGACGGGGACCCGCACAAGCGGUGGAGUAUGUGGUUUAAUUCGAUGCAACGCGAAGAACCUUACCAAGGCUUGACAUCCUGCGAAUUUUGAGGAAACUCAAAAGUGCCUUAGGGAACGCAGAGACAGGUGGUGCAUGGCUGUCGUCAGCUCGUGUCGUGAGAUGUUGGGUUAAGUCCCGCAACGAGCGCAACCCUCGUCCUUAGUUGCCAUCAUUAAGUUGGGGACUCUAGGGAGACCGCCGGGGAGAACUCGGAGGAAGGUGGGGAUGACGUCAAGUCAGCAUGCCCCUUACGUCUUGGGCUACACACGUACUACAAUGGUUGAGACAAAGGGAAGCGAAACUGCGAAGUGGAGCGAAUCCUGUCAAACUCAGCCCCAGUUCAGAUUGCAGGCUGAAACUCGCCUGCAUGAAGGAGGAAUCGCUAGUAAUCGCAGGUCAGCAUACUGCGGUGAAUCCGUUCCCGGGUCUUGUACACACCGCCCGUCACACCAUGGAAGUUGGUCAUGCCCGAAGUCGUUACCUUAACCGUUUACGGAGAGGGAUGCCGAAGGUGGGACUAGUGACUGGGGUGAAGUCGUAACAAGGUAGCCGUACCGGAAGGUGUGGCUGGAUCACCUCCUUAAAGGGAGACUUCUUGAGGAGUCAAUCAAGAGUGUAGAAAAUGGCUUUUAAACUAGAGAGAGGGUUCAUGGGCUUGGGCUAUUAGCUCAGGUGGUUAGAGCGCACCCCUGAUAAGGGUGAGGUCCCUGGUUCAAGUCCAGGAUGGCCCAUUACUCACAGGAGUAGGAAGGGGGUAUAGCUCAGUUGGUAGAGCGCCUGCUUUGCAAGCAGGAUGUCAGCGGUUCGAGUCCGCUUAUCUCCAGGAACAAUUCAGCAUCGAAAAAAGAAUGCUGGACGUUUGUUCAGUAAGAACCUUGAAAACUGCAUAAAAAAAGUAGGUAGAUAAAGCUGUGGAAAUCACAGACAGGUCAAGCAAAGAAGGGCUGAUGGUGGAUACCUAGGCACACGAAGGCGAUGAAGGACGUAGCAACCUACGAAAAGUCUCGGGGAGUCGGAAGCAGACUAUGAGCCGAGAGUGUCCGAAUGGGGCAACCCGAUCAACACACUAUGAAAAUAGUGAUGAGCGAACCUGGUGAACUGAAACAUCUUAGUAGCCAGAGGAAGAGAAAACAAAAGUGAUUCCCCUAGUAGCGGCGAGCGAAGCGGGAACAGCCUAAACCAGAGUUUACGAACUGUGGGGUAGUGGGACAUCAAGAACGAAACUGGAAGUUAAAUGAACUAGCUGAAAACUAGACCAGAGAAGGUGAAAGUCCUGUAAUUGAAAACAGAAAGAAUUGUAGGUGAAU